rnacentral:rRNA from 1 species
AUUGAACGCUGGCGGCAUGCCUUACACAUGCAAGUCGAACGGUAACGGGCCUUCGGGUGCCGACGAGUGGCGAACGGGUGAGUAAUACAUCGGAACGUGCCCGAUCGUGGGGGAUAACGAGGCGAAAGCUUUGCUAAUACCGCAUACGAUCUACGGAUGAAAGCAGGGGACCGCAAGGCCUUGCGCGGACGGAGCGGCCGAUGGCAGAUUAGGUAGUUGGUGGGAUAAAAGAUUACCAAGCCGACGAUCUGUAGCUGGUCUGAGAGGAUGAUCAGCCACACUGGGACUGAGACACGGCCCAGACUCCUACGGGAGGCAGCAGUGGGGAAUUUUGGACAAUGGGCGCAAGCCUGAUCCAGCCAUGCCGCGUGCAGGAUGAAGGCCUUCGGGUUGUAAACUGCUUUUGUACGGAACGAAAAGCCUUCUUUUAAUACAGGAGGGUCAUGACGGUACCGUAAGAAUAAGCACCGGCUAACUACGUG